CAUCAUUCUGAUGAUGCCAUUCUCAGUACUUCAAAGAUGAUUUAUAAUUUAAUAGGGCUGAUGACCCAAAGAACUAUAAGACCCUCACCUACUUUUCUAGAGUGACUGCUUUCAAUGAUUUUCAAGCUCCUACCAGACAUCCUCCCUGACCUCCAAAUGUAUUGAACUAUUCAUAAGUCCUGACGACUCCAUGAACACCCGCUGCCAAGCCGCCUAGCUCUGCAGUUCGUUUGAGGAUGCACUUCUCUCUUCAGUCUCCCUGGAUAAUCACUCUUCAUCCUUCAAGCUCAGCCACACUGUAGCUCCUCUGGGAAGCCUUCUCUGGACAAACCCACACCCACAACCCACAACCCUGGGUUGGUUUUCCAAUCUCUGUGCUUCUGUAAUAAUUUACAUAUAUGUCCUAAUACUCCACUUCUCAGAUCAGUUAAAACUCAGAGCUGGUCAAAGUCUAAUGUUCAUAAACAGUGCUUAGGAAUCUUGUAAAAUUCAGACUCUGAUUAACUUGGCCUGGGAUGGUGAGACCUAAAUAUGCAUUUCCUGUAAGUUCCCAGGUCAUGAUGAUAAUACUGGUCAUGGACCACACUUUGAAUAAGAAGAGUAUUAUUCUUGAAUAUUUUGUUUUCAACUGUGAACUCCUUAACAUUAGACCCUAUCACUUCCUCAGCUCUGAAUUUCUAGAACCCAACACACUUAAUGUACAAAGAAACAUUUUAGAUGAAUUGAUCCUGGGUCAUAUCUAGCAUUCGUUUUUU